ACCGUUUCUCUUCAUCAAAAUCUAUGUAUGGAUUCCUCCCAUUGGAUGCACGGAAGCAAGCAAGCUCAUCCUUCACACGAGAAAGAAGGACUUCUGUCCGCCUCAGCUUGGUGCUAAGGAUUUUUGUCAUUGUCAUCUGGCUAACAAAAUGUGUGAUGUGGCUGUUUAGUUAGCAUAAGGUGUAUAAUAAUUUGAAAUAUAUGUAUACAUUCUUAUAACUUUUUACAUUAGUUUUACUUAAUUUAUGUUUAUUUAUUCAUUA